UGUGGCUCCUCCUCAGAUACCAAUAAAGCUGACAGUAAAGUUCAGGUCUGUUUCUCUCUGUCUGAUGAUCAUGAUGCUCACGAUAAACCAAGCAGCACUGCUCUUCGUUCAGCUGUUAGUGGUGUGGCAUGUCUUUGCAGAGAUCGCUAAAGACGACCACAGAGCUGUGCUGGUGUCCAGAGGAGACUCAGUGACGCUGACUUGCAACAUAUCCAAGACAAAUGCAACAUUAAUCACCUGGACCAACAACAGAUCUGUUUUUAAAUAUUCCAUUGUGCUGAAUCGCACCUAUUCAAAUUUCUCAUUGCAUAGACUGAAAAUAAAUCAUGAGCUAAUUAUUUUUAGUGCUCAGCCUGAAGAUGAAGGACUUUAUACAUGUAGCAUAACAGAGAGACGUGGUGUAAACAGCAUUACAUGGAAUUUAACUGUGUCUGAGAACCCAGAAGAACCCACUUCAUCAAAAUAUUUUCUACACAUACUCCCACCUGCAAUUGGAUUGCUUCUGUGUUGCAUCACACUGGCUGUCUUACUCUACAGAAAAAUCAUGAUGAUGAAACUAAAUCAGGAUGCAGUCCGGGAUCAGAUUCCUCCUCAGUCAGGAGAAGAGACAUCUCUCCCUCAGCCACAGGGUGGCAGCACUGAUUGUAAAAACAACAGGCAGAGGAGUCGGUAUAUGGAGAGACUGAAUUCAAUCUAUGAUCACUUCUCAACUGAAAAACCUUCCAGUUCCUGACAGACAUGAACAGUGUCAGAGCAGAAACUGCAAGGGAACGCCAUCCGAGGGAGGACACCCGGGCUAUAAUAGCCUCAGCUUCAGCUCAGACAAAUGACCUGAACCCCCCCCCCCCCCC